UUUUUUUUUAGACUAAGAAAGAACAUGUGUUCUUUCAGAUGUUUGGGGAAUAUUUCUAACAAGUGACUGGGUUUUGAAACCUGAAUAUGGCGCGUAGCUUUUUUUUUCUUGCUUUCACCUUUGCUCUGGGUUAUGAGGUUUAUAACUUGCAUGAAUAUGUUUUGAAAAAAACCAUGUACAUAAUUCACAUUGCUCCUAGUCAUGCCUUUUACGUUGCUUACAUGUGAUAGAUACCCUUUGUUGAUAGUGGGUAUUAUCUGUUCUACUAAUUUAUUUAAAGUUUUUAAAUAAAUUUGAAGAGCAAAUGUUGGGUGAGUGAAGGCUUGAUUGAAAUUUCUAAGUUGAAGGAACUGGUAGUGCAAUUAGACCUGACUUAUUCCUCAGACCGAGGCUUCCUCGUUAGGGGGCCGAUAUGAGGAAUAUGAAUUUAUGGAGCCCUCAUCUGUAACUGAAAUAUCUACUGUUGUGCCUCUGGGUAGGCACUGCUCCCAGUGUCUGUUGGAAUUUCUUAAAAACACAAGUUUAGAACAAAAAACGAAAGCCUAUAAAUGUAUUCUAGGAUUACAUCUUAGCUGGGUGUUUAAUUCAUUUCAAUGUGUACAACCAAUGGCAGCCACUAAGUAAAUUUCUUUCAGAUGUCUCUGAAUGAGGUCUACCUUAGACAGAAGGUGUGUGGACAGGUUAAAUAAUCUAUUUAACAGCAAGGACACACUGGCAUACCAAUUCUGAUUAUUUUCAACCUAGUUAGCCAGUGAGGUAAGCAUAUUCCCUGCCUCUCAAAUUACUUACAUGUUUAAAUUUAGGAGUUGACCAAGAAAUAGGUAAAUACAUAAACGUGGCAAUAUGUGUAGCCUAAAAUUAAAAUCAUCUGUAGUAUUUAUUUGUAGCCAAAAGAAUGUGGCAUAAAGAGUAGGAAAUACUGUCACAUUCAGUUAGUACUGAAGUUGAGGAUGACCCUUCCAAUGGUCUCAAAUGACUGUGUUUCUCAUGGGCUGGCAGUUUUGAUUUUUCUUUUUUUUUAAAUAUAAUGAGUGGGCAAAGAUGGUUUGAAUUGUUUUGCCUCUUAGAUAUUAAAAGGAAAUGUGUCUUUUGUUUAAAAUAAAUUACAAACUGGAUUUUUCUUCUAGAUAGUUUGACUUUCUUUAAACUAUGAGGAUAAAGACUUUCACAUUUUAGAGUGGUUGUGUAUUAUUGGAAAAAAAUUAAGUAUAUGCAGAGAACUUGGAAAAGUGCUUGAAGAAAAUCGUUUAGAUGUAUGGUAGCAUUCCUUUGAAAUAAAUUGCCAUGAAUGCUCAAACAUGUAUUCAGCCAAACUUUGCUAGAACAUUGACUGGACACAGCAAUAAUUAUAGCAACAUGGUGGGCAUCUGUAUAUAUGUAAAGAAAUCUAUCUGUACCUUUUUUUAUUGCAUUUUAAAAACCCCUACUUUGAAACACUGUAUUAUUUUUAAUUGUUUGCUAAUGGUAGUAAUUGUUUCACCCUAAAAAGGAGAAAAUCUGCAGUGCGAUUUGUCAUGUUACUCCUGCGGCACAGGAAACUGCUAAGUGGUAAAGUUUGAAAAUUCGGGUUGCCAUCAAUUUUAAUUUCAGUUUGUCAACAGCAGGAACACUUUUUCCUGACGUUUUUUCCUGCUGUUUACCACAGGAAGUUUUCUGCUUUUUUAGCAGAGUGAGCAUAAUGGUAAACUUACAGAAAAUGGUGAUGUACUAAGAAACUUGGAAAUCUCUGGCCAAUAAACUUAAAGCAAAUGAAUCUUACUAGUAGACAGUUUAAAAAUCAGAUUUAAAAAAAAAAUAAUUAAAAUAUUCUGUUGGUUUUGUAUAGAUUUAUAUAAUGGGAAAUAAAAUCCCUACAUUUCCACAGUAGAAUUCAGGAACUUGCAUAAUGCAAAUGUUUUCCUGAGGAAUCUUAAUUACACUGCAUAUUCCACUGGGAUUUUGCAGGUGAUUCUAUUGGAAGGGUUAUUUUAUUGUUAUCAGUCUAAUUGGUAGAUUUUUUUUCACUUCUUCAUCUUAAUAUUCUGCUAGUAAUAUUCAUACCUAUUUGUCCUCAUUCAUAAUUUAAUGAAAAAAGGGCAGUUUCAUUGUGGCCAAUUCUUCUUUGCACCUAUGUAAUCUUCCUGAUGCUUUCCUCUAUAACCAAGUUAAGUUCUGUGUUUUCUUCCCUGCUCUCUUCUCUGUCAAUGUCCCUCAUUGCUUUUAGUCCGAUUCAACAUUCCGGUGCUGCACCCGCUCACUGGCUGAAGCCUUUCUGCUCCCAGAGUCUUCCUCGCUGUUCCUGCCCAGUGAGGAUUCUGUCCUUCUCCCCCUAAACCUUCUGUCUUUAUUUUACUUUAUAAUCUUAACUGAAUAUUUUUAUUAAAUAGUUUUUAAUUCUGUAUUUAAAUUUUCACAUGGAAACUCUGUAUUUUGCACACGGUGAAAAUUGUUUUAGCUUUAUUUAUGAUAUCUGCUGUAAACAAAAAAUAAAUGUAGUUCUUUAUAA